UACGAAGGGGGCUAGCGUUAAUCGGAAUUACUGGGCGUAAAGCGUGCGUAGACGGUAGCGUAAGUCGGGUGUGAAAGCCCCGGGCUCAACCUGGGAAUUGCAUUCGAGACUGCAGAGCUAGGGUGCGGAAGAGGGAAGCGGAAUUUCCGGUGUAGCGGUGAAAUGCGCAGAUAUCGGGAGGAACACCAAUGGCGAAGGCAGCUCGCUGGGACGGUACUGACGCUGAGACGCGAAAGCGUGGGGAGCAAACAGG
rnacentral:rRNA from 1 species